rnacentral:rRNA from 1 species
UACGAAGGGGACUAGCGUUGUUCGGAAUUACUGGGCGUAAAGCGCACGUAGGCGGAUUUGUAAGUCAGGGGUGAAAUCCCGGGGCUCAACCUCGGAACUGCCUUUGAAUACUGCAAAUCUCGAGUCCGAUAGAGGUGGGUGGAAUUCCCGGUGUAGUGGUGGAAUGCGUAGAUAGUCGGGGGGAAUACCAGUGGCGAAAGCGGCACCCUAGCGUUAGCCUGACGCUCAUGUGCGAAAGCGUGGGGAGCGAACGAGG